UACGUAGGUGGCAAGCGUUGUCCGGAAUUAUUGGGCGUAAAGCGCGCGCAGGCGGCUUCCCAAGUCCCUCUUAAAAGUGCGGGGCUUAACCCCGUGAUGGGAAGGAAACUGGGAAACUGGAGUAUCGGAGAGGAAAGUGGAAUUCCUAGUGUAGCGGUGAAAUGCGUAGAGAUUAGGAAGAACACCGGUGGCGAAGGCGACUUUCUGGACGAAAACUGACGCUGAGGCGCGAAAGCGUGGGGAGCAAACAGG
rnacentral:rRNA from 1 species